GAUGAAGAACGUAGCAAAAUGCGAUAAGUAAUGUGAAUUGCAGAAUUCAGUGAAUCAUCGAAUCUUUGAACGCACAUUGCGCCCUGUGGUAUUCCGCAGGGCAUGCCUGUUCGAGCGUCAUUUCAACCCUCAAGCUCUGCUUGGUGUUGGGCCCUGCCCGCUGCGGCCGGCCCUAAAGACAGUGGCGGUGCCGCCUGGCCCUGAGCGUAGUACAUCUCUCGCUCCAGUGCCCGGUGGUAGCCUGCCAGAACCCCAACUCUCGUGGUUGACCUCGGAUCAGGUAGGGAUACCCGCUGAACUUAAGCAUAUCAAUAAGCGGAGGA
rnacentral:misc_RNA from 1 species